rnacentral:rRNA from 1 species
GACGAACGCUGGCGGCGUGCUUAACACAUGCAAGUCGAACGGAAAGGCCCUGCUUUUGUGGGGUGCUCGAGUGGCGAACGGGUGAGUAACACGUGAGUAACCUGCCCUUGACUUUGGGAUAACUUCAGGAAACUGGGGCUAAUACCGGAUAGGAGCUCCUGCUGCGUGGUGGGGGUUGGAAAGUUUCGGCGGUUGGGGAUGGACUCGCGGCUUAUCAGCUUGUUGGUGGGGUAGUGGCUUACCAAGGCUUUGACGGGUAGCCGGCCUGAGAGGGUGACCGGCCACAUUGGGACUGAGAUACGGCCCAGACUCCGACGGGAGGCAGCAGUGGGGAAUAUUGCACAAUGGGCGGACGCCUGAUGCAGCAACGCCGCGUGCGGGAUGACGGCCUUCGGGUUGUAAACCGCUUUCGCCUGUGACGAAGCGUGAGUGACGGUAAUGGGUAAAGAAGCACCGGCUAACUACGUG